GACGGACGCUGGCGGCGUGCUUAACACAUGCAAGUCGAACGGUGAAGGGACCAGCUUGCUGGUUCUGGGUGAGUGGCGAACGGGUGAGUAACACGUGAGUAACCUGCCCCCUUCUUCUGGAUAACCGCAUGAAAGUGUGGCUAAUACGGGAUAUUCUGGGUCUGUCGCAUGACGGGCCCGGGAAAGAUAUUGCUUCGGUGGGGGAUGGGCUCGCGGCCUAUCAGCUUGUUGGUGGGGUGAUGGCCUACCAAGGCGGUGACGGGUAGCCGGCCUGAGAGGGUGGACGGUCACACUGGGACUGAGACACGGCCCAGACUCCUACGGGAGGCAGCAGUGGGGAAUAUUGCACAAUGGGCGCAAGCCUGAUGCAGCGACGCCGCGUGAGGGAUGGAGGCCUUCGGGUUGUAAGCCUCUUUCGCCGGUGAAGCAGGCCCGCCUCGUUUGUGGGUGGGUUGACGGUAGCUGGAUAAGAAGCGCCGGCUAACUACGUGC
rnacentral:rRNA from 1 species